CGUGAACGCUGGCGGUAGGCCUAACACAUGCAAGUCGAACGGCAGCACAGUAAGAGCUUGCUCUUACGGGUGGCGAGUGGCGGACGGGUGAGGAAUACAUCGGAAUCUACUUUUUCGUGGGGGGUAACGUAGGGAAACUUACGCUAAUACCGCAUACGACCUACGGGUGAAAGCAGGGGAUCUUCGGACCUUGCGCGAUUGAAUGAGCCGAUGUCGGAUUAGCUAGUUGGCGGGGUAAAGGCCCACCAAGGCGACGAUCCGUAGCUGGUCUGAGAGGAUGAUCAGCCACACUGGAACUGAGACACGGUCCAGACUCCUACGGGAGGCAGCAGUGGGGAAUAUUGGACAAUGGGCGCAAGCCUGAUCCAGCCAUACCGCGUGGGUGAAGAAGGCCUUCGGGUUGUAAAGCCCUUUUGUUGGGAAAGAAAAGCAGCAGGUUAAUACCCCGCUGUUCUGACGGUACCCAAAGAAUAAGCACCGGCUAACUUCGUG
rnacentral:rRNA from 1 species